CAUUUGCAUCAUGGUUUUGGUUCUUAGUCUGAAAAGCUAAGAGGGAAUCGGGUGUAAAUCCUGAACAGUUACCGCUGCUGUAAUCUCCACACCAAACUUUUUGUCCAUGAGAAGCCACUGUUUUUAUACGGGAAGGCCGGCAAAAAGGGAGUAAGUCAGAAGACCUGCCAAUAACUAAUUGCAUUUG
rnacentral:ncRNA from 22 species